AUGUACCACUCGUACACUCCGGUUCCUGUGCGCCGUCCGCACCCACCUGACGACUGCUAGCGCGGUGAUGAGCG
rnacentral:sRNA from 1 species